GCGCAAAUGGUUUAGUGGUAAAAUCCAUCGUUGCCAUCUUCAUGAGUAAAAUCAUAGGAUCCAAUUCGAUGGGCCCCCGGUUCGAUUCCGGGUUUGCGCA